GGAAUAAGAACAGUGACUGCACUUUCAGAAUAAACCAGCUGAAAGAAAGUGAUUCAGCAAUAUAUCGCUUCAAGUUCCUGACCGACCGUUAUGGUGGAAAAUAGACUGGUCUGCCUGGAGUCUCGUUGACAGUUACAGGUCUUCAGGUGAAAGUGACAGAGAAUGAGGCACAGAGUGUAACACUGACCUGUAGCAGCACCUGCACUUUGAGUGGCAGCCCUACCUUUACCUGGUACAAGAAUGGAAAAGUUGUGCCCUAUGAGUAUAAAUACUCCCUCAAUGUAGCCAGCACUGAUGAUACAGAUCUCUACUCCUGUGCUACAGGAGGAGUCACUUCCCCUGCAGUCAAUGUGAAAUAUGCUCCUAAAAACACCUCAGUAUCAGUGAGCCCCUCUGGUGAAAUAGUGGAGGGCAGUUCAGUGACUCUGACCUGCAGCAGUAAUGCCAACCCACCAGUGCA